GUGGAUUAGAUACCCUGGUAGUCCACGCCGUAAACGAUGGAUGCUAGCCGUUGGACAGCUUGCUGUUCAGUGGCGCAGCUAACGCAUUAAGCAUCCCGCCUGGGGAGUACGGUCGCAAGAUUAAAACUCAAAGGAAUUGACGGGGGCCCGCACAAGCGGUGGAGCAUGUGGUUCAAUUCGAAGCAACGCGCAGAACCUUACCAACCCUUGACAUGUCCAGUAUGGGUUUCAGAGAUGAGACCCUUCAGUUCGGCUGGCUGGAACACAGGUGCUGCACGGCCGUCGUCAACU
rnacentral:rRNA from 1 species